rnacentral:rRNA from 1 species
UACGAAGGGGGCUAGCGUUGUUCGGAGUUACUGGGCGUAAAGGGCGCGUAGGCGGCGCACCAAGUCAGGCGUGAAAGCCCUGGGCUCAACCCGGGAAUUGCGCUUGAGACUGGUGUGCUUGAGUACGGGAGAGGAUAGUGGAAUUCCCAGUGUAGAGGUGAAAUUCGUAGAUAUUGGGAAGAACACCGGUGGCGAAGGCGGCUAUCUGGCCCGGUACUGACGCUGAGGUGCGAAAGCGUGGGGAGCAAACAGG